CAAGAUGGCCAUCCAGACUCAGCAGUCGAAGUUUGUGAACUUGCAGGUGGACGGGAAGUACUGGGACUCUGACUUCACAGCGGUCGUCACGCUGGGAACCCAGAUGUCCUUGUGGGUUCAGGAAUUCUCGUAACCUUCUACCUACCUCCAGAGCAUCACGCCUUGACUGGCUCUGAGCAGAGAGCUGGUCUACCACCCGCAGCCUGGGGAGGAGGGCACCGUCAUGUCUCUAGCUGGAAAAUACACAUUGAACAUUUGGUUGGCAACGGUAAUGUUGGGCCAGGAGGGCAUGCACAGGACAUACUACCACAAAGCCAGUGACCAGCUGCAGGUGCGUGUGGAGUUUGGAGGCCAGCACAAGGAUGCAGGACACCAGUGUCUCGUUCAGGUACCAGCUGGACCUGCCCAAGGCCAACCUCCUCUUCAAAGGCUCUGUGGACAGCAACUGGAUCGUGGGUGCCACCCUGGGGAAGAAGCUCCCGCCCCUGCUCCUGACACUGGCCCUCCAGGCCUUCCUGAAUCACUGCAAGAACAAGUUCCAGUGCAGGUUUGGCCUCACCAACCGCUAUUCCAGUCAAGAGGGGUGGGUAGCUGGAGCCUCUCCUGGCAGCACAGAGAACAAGGAAACUGGUGUACCUGAAGAAAACCCAGGCAGACAUGGAGAGAACUACAAAUUCUACACAGUCGGUGGCCCUGGCCAGAAAUAGAUUUCUUUCUAGGCAGUGUUAUAACAAAAUGACAUUGAAUGAAAUGGUAUUAUUUGAGGAACUACUGUAUAUUAAGACAAAAAAUACAUUUGGAAAAAAACAACAGUAAGAAUUAGAAAAUGUAGACGUAAAAAUGAAUGUGCAGAAUGCUAGACAUUGUUUAAAGGAAAUUAUUUAAAAUCCCUGAAACAGAGAAACCAGAGAAUGAGUAUGCUAAAAAAAAAAAAUAAAGAUAUAUGGAAGACAAUUUAAAAGGAAAAC
rnacentral:lncRNA from 13 species